rnacentral:siRNA from 1 species
AUUUGACACGUGCCACAAUCAU